ACACAGACUAGCACACACUAACACAGACUAGCACACACUAACACACUCUAACACAGACUAGCACACACUAAC